UACAGAGGGUGCGAGCGUUGUCCGGAAUCACUGGGCGUAAAGGGCGCGUAGGUGGCGACCCAAGUCGAUGGUGAAAGCUCGCCGCUCAACGGCGAGUCGGCCACCGAUACUGGGUUUGCUCGAGCACUGUAGAGGCUCAUGGAAUUCCGGGUGUAGCGGUGGAAUGCGUAGAGAUCCGGAAGAACACCGGUGGCGAAGGCGGUGGAGCUGGGCAGUUGCUG
rnacentral:rRNA from 1 species